AACAAGAACACUAAUAAAACUAUCAAUCUUCUCAAUUCUUAAUAACAAUAUACAAAAUUUAGCAAAACAAGAACACUAAUAACACUAUCAAUCUUCUCAUUUCUUGAUAACAAUAUACAAAAUUUAACAAAACAAGAACACUAAUAACACUGUCAAUCUUCUCAUUUCUUGAUAACAAUAUACAAAAUUUAGCAAAACAAGAACACUAUCAAUCUUCUCAUUUUUUGAUAACAAUAAAGAAAAUUUAGCAAAACAAGAACACUAAUAACACUAUCCAUCCUUUCAUUUCUUGAUAACAAUAUACAAAAUUCAGCAAAACAAGAACCCUAAUAACACUAUCAAUCUUCUCAUUUCUUGAUAACAAUAUACAAAAUUCAGCAAAACAAGAACACUAAUAACAGUAUCAAUCCUCUCAUUUCUUGAUUACAAUAUACAAAAUUUAGCAAAACAAGAACAUUAAUAACAUUAUCAAUCUUCUCAUUUCUUGAUAACAAUAUACAAAAUUUAGCGAAACAAGAACACUACUAACACUAAAUCAAUCUUCUCAUUUCUUUUAAUAAACAAUAUACAAAAUUUAGCAAAACAAGAACACUAAUAACAUCUAAUCAAAUCUUCUCAAUUUCUGAUGUAACAAUAUACAAAAUUUAGCAAACCAAGAACAUAAUAACACUAUCAAUCUCUCAUCAUUUCUUGAUAAACAAUAUACAAAUUUUAUGCAAAACAAGAAACACUAAUAAACACUAUCAAUCUUUCCAUUUCUUGAUAACAAUAUACAAAAUUUAGCGAAACAAGAACAAUAAUAACACUACACAAUCUUUAUUCUGAAUAAACAAUAUACAAAAUUUAGCAAAACAAGAACCAUCUAAUAAGCAUUCUAUCAAAUCUUCUCAUUUCUUGAUAACAAUAUACAAAAUUUAGCAAACUAGAUACACUAAUACACUAUCAAUCUUUCUCAUUUCUUUGAUAACAAUAUAUCUACUAAAUAUUAGCAAAAACAAGAACACUAAUAACAAAUGUAUCAAUCCUCUCAUUUCUUAAUAACAAUCUAAAUAAAAUUUAGCAAACAAGACAAUAACACUUCAAUCCUCUCAUUCUGAUAACAAACAUAUAACAAACAAACACUAAUCACUAUCAAUCUUCUGCAUUUCUUGAUGAACAUAUACAAAAUUUUAGCAAAACAAGACACUAAUAACACAUAUCAAUCUUCUCAUUUUUGAUAACAAUAUACAAAUUAAAAAAAACCAAGAACACUAAUAACACUAUCAAUCUUCUCAUUUCUUAUAACAAUGAUACUAAAAUUUAGCAAAACAAGAACACUAAUAACACAUAUCAAUCUUCUGACUUUCUUGAUAACAAUAUAAAAAAAUUUAGCAGAAACAGAACACUAAUAAACUAUCAAUCUUCUCAUUUUCCUUAAUAACAAUAUACAAAUUUAAAAACAAGAACACUAAAUAACACUAUCAAUCUUCAUUUCUUGAUAAACAAUAUCAAAAUUAGCAAAACAACAUUAAUAACACUAGUCAUCUCUCAUUUCUUGAUACAAUAUACAAAUUUAGAAAAACAAGAACACUAUACACUAUCAUCUUCUCAAAUUUUCUUGAUAACAAUAUACAGAAAUUUAGCCAAUAACAAGAACACUAAUAACACUAUCAUCUCUCAUUUCUUGAUACAAUAUAUCAAAAUUCGCAAUACAAAGAAACUAUAACACUAUCAACUUCUCAUUCUUGAUAACAAUAUACAAAUUAGGCAAACACAAAACACUAAUAACACCUAUCAAUCUCUCAUUUCUUGAUAACAUAUACAAAAUUUAGCAAAACAAGAACAUAUAACAUUAUCCAUCUUCUCAUUUCUUGAUAACAAUAUACAAAUUUACGAAACAAGAACACUAAUAACACUAUCAAUCUUCCUCAUUUUUGAAUCAACAAUAUACAAAAUUUAGCAAAACAAGAAACUAAUAACACUAUCAAUCUUUCUCAUUUCUUGAUAAAAUAUACAAUUUAGCAAAAACAGAAGCACUAAUAACACUAUCAAUUGUCCUCAUUUUCUUUGAUAACAAAUACAAAAUUUAGCAAAAACAAGAACACUAUAACACUAUCAAUCUUCCAUUUCUUGAUAACAAAUACAAAUUUAGCAAAACAAGAACAAUAAUAACACUUCAAUCUUCUUUCCUUGAUAACAAUAUACAAAAUCUAGCAAAAAAGAACACUAAUAACACUAUCAAUCUUCUGUUCUUUUGAUAACAAUAUACAAAUUUGCAAAACAGAGAACACUAAUAACACUUCAUCUUCUCAUUUUUCAUAACAAUAUACAAAUUUACAAACAAGAACAUAAUAACAUAUCUAUCUUCUCAAUUUUCUUUGAUAACAAUAUACAAAUUUAGCAAAACAAGAACAUAAUAACACUAUCAAUCUUCUCAUUUCUGAUAACAAUAUACAAAAUUUAGCAAAACAAGAACAAAUAACAUAUCAAUCUUCUAUUUCUUGAUAACAAUAUACAAAUUUAGCAAAACAAGAACACUAAUAACACAAAUCUUCUCAUUCUUGAUAAAUAUACAAAAUUUAGCAAAACAAGAAACACUAAUAACAUUAUCAAUUCUCUCAUUUCUUAAUAACAAUACAUAAUUUAGCAAACAAGAACAUAAUAACACUGCUUCAUCUCUCAUUCUUGAUAACAAUAUACAAAAUAUAGCAAAACCAGAAACACUAAUACACUCAUCAAUCUUCUCAUUUCUUGAUAACAAUAUACAAAAUUUGCAACAGAACAUAAUACACUAUCAAUCUUCUCAUUUCUUGAUUAACAUAUACAAAAUUUAAAAAAAAACAAGAACACUAAUAACACUAUAUCUCUCAUUUCUUGAUAACAAUAAUACAAAAUUUAGCAAAACAAGACACUAAUAACAUUCAAUCUUCUCAUUUCUUGAUAAACAAUAUAAAAAAUUUAGCAAAACAAGAACAUAAUAACUAUCAAUCUUCUCAUUUCUUAAACAAUAUACAAAAUUUAGAAAAACAGAACACUAAUAACAUAUCAUCUUCUCAUUUCUUGAUAACAAUAUACAAAUUUAGCAACAAGAACACUAAUAACACUUCAAUCUUCUCAUUUUUGAUAACAAUAUACAAAAUUUAGCAAAACAAGAACACUAUCAAUCUUCUCAUUUUUGAUAACAAUAUACAAAAUUUAGCAAAACAAGAACACUAAUAACACUAUCAUCUCUCAUUUCUGAUAACAAUAUACAAAAUUCAGAACAAACAAGAAGCUUCAUUCUUGAUAACAACUAUCAUUCCAACAAGACAUAUCAUUCCAUGUCUGAUAAAUGAAAAUUUCUAAGCAAAUCAAGACACAAUAAACAUCCACUACAUUUGAACAAUUUUACGAACAAGAAAUGAUACACUCUCCAAUUCUCAUUCUGAUAACAAUAUACAAAUUUAGAAAACAAGAACUUAUCAAUCCUCUCAUUUCUUGAUAACAAUAUACAUAAUUUAGCAAAACAAGAACACUAAUAACACUAUCAAUCUUCUCAUUUCUUGAUAACAAUAUACAAAAUUUAGAAAAACAAGAACACUAAUAACACUAUCAAUCUUCACAUUUCUUGAUAACAAUAUACAUAAUUUAGCAAAACAAGAACAAUAAUAACACUCUCAGUCCUCUUUUUUCUUGAUAAUAAUAUACAAAAUUUAACAAAAGAAGAACACUAAUAACACUAUCAAUCUUCUGAUUUCUUGAUAACACUAUACAAAAUUUAGCAAAACAAGAACACUAAUAACACUGUCAAUCUUCUCAUUUCUUGAUAACAAUAUACAAAAUUUAGCAAAACAAGAACACUAUUAAUCUUCUCAUUUUUUGAUAACAAUUUACAAAAUUUAGCAAAACAAGAACACUAAUAACACUAUCCAUCCUCUCAUUUCUUGAUAACAAUAUACAAAAUUCAGCAAAACAAGAACCCUAAUAACACUAUCAAUCUUCUCAUUUCUUGAUAACAAAAUUUAGCACAAACAAGAACACUAAUAAACACUAUCAAUCUUUCUUGAUAACAAUAUACAAAAUUCAGCAAAACAAGAACACUAAUAACACUAUCAAUCUUCUCAUUUCUUGAUAACAAUAUACAAAAUUCAGCAAAACAAGAACACUAAUAACACUAUCAAUCCUGUCAUUUCUUGAUAACAAUAUACAAAAUUUAGCAAACCAAGAACAUUAAUAACAUUAUCAAUCUUCUCAUUUCUUGAUAACAAUAUACAAAAUUUAGCAAAAUAAGAACACUAAUAACACUAUCAAUCUUCUUAUUUCUUGAUAACAAUAUACAAAAUUUAGCAAAGCAAGAACACUAAUAACACUAUCAAUCUUCUCAUUUCUUGAUAACAAAAUAGAAAAUUUAGCAAAACAAGAACACUAAUAACAAUAUCAAUCCUCUCAUUUCUUGAUAACAAUAUACAUAAUUUAGCUAAACAAGAACACUAUCAAUCUUCUCAUUUCUUGAUAACAAUAUACAAAAUUUAGCAAAACAAGAACACUAAUAACACUAUCAAUCCUCUCAUUUCUUAAUAACAAUAUACAAAAUUCAGCAAAACAAGAACCCUAAUAACACUAUCAAUCUUCUCAUUUCUUGAUAACAAUAUACAAAAUUCAGCAAAACAAGAACACUAAUAACACUAUCAAUCCUCUCAUUUCUUGAUAACAAUAUAAAAAGUUUAGCAAACAAGAACACAAUAACACUAUCAAUCUUCUCAUUUCUUAAUACAAAUAUAGAAAAUUUAGCAAAACAAGAACACUAAUAACACUAAUCAAUCUCUCUCUUUCUUAGAUAACAAUAUACACAAAUUUUAGCAAAACAAGAACACUAAUAACAUUAUCAAUCUUCUCAUUUCUGAUAACAAUUAGACAAAUUUAGCAAAACAAGAACACUAUAUAACACUAUCAAUCUUUCUCAUUUCUUGAUAACAAUAUACAAAAUUAUAAAAACAGAAACACUAAUAACACUAUCAAUCUUCUCAUUUCUUGAUAACAAUAUAACAAAAUUUAGCAAAACAAGAACACUAAUAACACUAUCAAUCUUCUCAUUUCUUGAUAAAAAUAGCAAAAUUAGCAAAACAAGACACUAUAACAACUAUCAAUCUUCUCAUUUCUUAAUAACAAUAUACAAAUUUAGCAAAAAGAACACUAAUAACACUAUCAAUCUUUCCAUUUCUUGAUAACAAUAUACAAAAUUGCAAAACAAGAACACUAAUAACACUCAAUUCUUCUCAUUUCUUGAUAACAAUAUACAAAAUUUAGCAAAACAAGAACACUAUCAAUCUUCUCAUUUCUUGAUAACAAUAUACAAAAUUUAGCAAACAAGAAACACUAAUAACACUAUCAUCUCUCAUUUCUUGAUAACAAUAUACAAAAUUCAGCAAAACAAGAACCUAAUAACAUAUCAAUCUUCUCAUUUCUUGAUAACAAUAUACAAAAUUCAGCAAAACAAGAACAUAAUAACUAUCAAUCCUCUCAUUCUUGACAACAAUAUACAAAAUUAAGGCAAAACAAGAACAUUAAUAACAUUAUCAAUCUUCUCAUUUCUUGAUAACAAUAUACAAAAUUUAGCGAAACAAGAACACUAAUAACACUAUCAAUCUUCUCUUUUUUCUUAAUAACAAUAUACAAAAUUUAGCAAAACAAGAACACUAAUAACACUAUCAAUCUUCUCAUUUCUUGAUAACAAUAUACAAAAUUUAGCAAAAACAAGAACACUAAUAAACACAUCAAUCUUCUCAUUUCUUGAUAACAAUAUACAAAAUUUAGCAAAGCAAAGAACACUAAUAACACUAUCAAUCUUCUCAUUCUUGAAUAACAAAAUAGAAAAUUUAGGCAAAACAAGAACACUAAUAACAUCAAUCCUUCAUUUCUUGAUAACAAUAUACAAAUUUAGCAAAACAAACACUAAUAACAUAUCAACCUCAUUUCUUGAUAACAAUAUACAAAAUUUGCAAAACAAGAACACUAUAUUAACACUAUCAAUUUCUCAUUUCUUAAUAACAAUAUACAAAAUUUAGCAAAAAAAACAAAACAUAAUAACACUAUCAAUCUCUCAUUUCUUGAUAACAUAUACAAAAUUUGGCAAAACAAGAACACUAAUAACACUAUCAAUGCUUCUUCAUUUCUUGAUAACAAAUAUACAAAUUUAAAAACAAGAACACUAUAACAACUAUCAAUCUUCUCAUUUCUUGAUAACAAUAUACAAAAUUUAGCAAAACAAGAAACUAAUAACACUAUCAAUCUUCUCAUUUCUUGAUAACAAUAUCAAAAUUUAGCAAAACAAGAACACUAUAAC
rnacentral:lncRNA from 1 species